AUACGGAGGAUCCGAGCGUUAUCCGGAUUUAUUGGGUUUAAAGGGUGCGCAGGCGGCCAUUUAAGUCAGCGGUUAAAUCGUGGGGCUCAACCCCAUUCUGCCGUUGAUACUGGGUGGCUUGAUUGCGGUCGAGGUUGGCGGAAUUCGUUGUGUAGCGGUGAAAUGCAUAGAUAUGACGAAGAACACCGAUUGCGUAGGCAGCUGACCAGACCGCAAAUGACGCUCAUGCACGAAAGUGCGGGGAUCGAACAGGAUUAGAUACCCUGGUUGUCCGCACAGUAAACGAUGAAUACUUGUUUUCGGCGAUAUAAUGUCGGAGGCAAAGCGAAAGCGAUAAGUAUUCCACCUGGGGAGUACGCCGGCAACGGUGAAACUCAAAUGAAUUGACGGGG
rnacentral:rRNA from 1 species